rnacentral:rRNA from 1 species
CCAAUUUAAACGGCCGCGUUAGCGUGAGCGUGCUAAGGUAGCGUAAUAACCAGCCUUCUAAUUAGAGGCCAGUGAAAGGCAAUACAUGGGACCACCUAUAUCUAAUGUGCCAAAAGAACUUUACCUUUGAGUGAAAAGGCUCAACUAACCAAAAAAGACGAAAAGACCCCGCGGAGCUUUACUUAAAAGUUACAGAUCAUAUAAAAUCAACACUAAAAGUUUGGUUGGGGCAACCUUGGAACAAAUAAUCUUCCAAUUCACCUAUCUGCAAUAACAUAUAAAACCUUUAUGGACUAAAAAGAAGCUACCCCGGGGAUAACAGCGUAAUCCAACUUAAAAGAACACAUCGAAAGUUGGGUUUGCGACCUCGAUGUUGGCUUAGGGUAAUCCUUAUGGUGCAGAAGCUAUAAAUAGGACAGUCUGUUCGACUAAUAAAACCCUAC